rnacentral:rRNA from 1 species
UACACUCCUGCGGGAGGCAGCAGUGGGGAAUUUUGGACAAUGGGCGAAAGCCUGAUCCAGCAAUGCCGCGUGAGUGAAGAAGGCCUUCGGGUUGUAAAGCUCUUUUGUCAGGGAAGAAACGGUGAAAGCUAAUAUCUUUUGCUAAUGACGGUACCUGAAGAAUAAGCACCGGCUAACUACGUGCCAGCAGCCGCGGUAAUACGUAGGGUGCAAGCGUUAAUCGGAAUUACUGGGCGUAAAGCGUGCGCAGGCGGUUUUGUAAGUCUGAUGUGAAAUCCCCGGGCUCAACCUGGGAAUUGCAUUGGAGACUGCAAGGCUAGAAUCUGGCAGAGGGGGGUAGAAUUCCACGUGUAGCAGUGAAAUGCGUAGAUAUGUGGAGGAACACCGAUGGCGAAGGCAGCCCCCUGGGUCAAGAUUGACGCUCAUGCACGAAAGCGUGGGGAGCAAACAGGAUUAGAAACCCCGGUAUCCCA